rnacentral:sRNA from 1 species
CGGAUCGCGGGCUCGGGCUGCGGGGCUCCGGCUGCGGGCGCUGGGCCGCGAGGCGCGGAGCUUGGGAGCGCAGCCCAGGCCGUGCCGCGCGGCGCCAUGAAGGGCAAGGAGGAGAAGGAGGGCGGCGCACGGCUGGGCGCUGGCGGCGGAAGCCCCGAGAAGAGCCCGAGCGCGCAGGAGCUCAAGGAGCAGGGCAACCGUCUGUUCGUGGGCCGAAAGUACCCGGAGGCGGCGGCUUGCUACGGCCGCGCGAUCACCCGGAACCCGCUGGUGGCCGUGUAUUACACCAACCGGGCCUUGUGCUACCUGAAGAUGCAGCAGCACGAGCAGGCCCUGGCCGACUGCCGGCGCGCCCUGGAGCUGGACGGGCAGUCUGUGAAGGCGCACUUCUUCCUGGGGCAGUGCCAGCUGGAGAUGGAGAGCUAUGAUGAGGCCAUCGCCAAUCUGCAGCGAGCUUACAGCCUGGCCAAGGAGCAGCGGCUGAACUUCGGGGACGACAUCCCCAGCGCUCUUCGAAUCGCGAAGAAGAAGCGCUGGAACAGUAUUGAGGAGCGGCGCAUCCACCAGGAGAGCGAGUUGCACUCCUACCUCUCCAGGCUCAUUGCCGCGGAGCGUGAGAGGGAGCUGGAAGAAUGCCAGCGAAACCACGAGGGUGAUGAGGACGACAGCCACGUCCGGGCCCAGCAGGCCUGCAUUGAGGCCAAGCACGUGAGGAUGCCCCCCACCCACAUGUGGGUCUGUGUGUGUGCACGUGGCGUGGAAGCAUCCCCGCCUUGUGUUGGGUCUGUGCCCCAUGGAGGAGGGAGGUUGGGUGUCUCCCCCAAGCGCAGCACUCAACUCUUCACAGGACAAGUACAUGGCGGACAUGGACGAGCUCUUUUCUCAGGUGGACGA